rnacentral:rRNA from 1 species
UACGUAGGGUGCGAGCGUUAAUCGGAAUUACUGGGCGUAAAGCGUGCGUAGGCGGUUCGUUAAGUUCGUUGUGAAAGCCCCGGGCUCAACCUGGGAACUGCAAUGGAGACUGGCGGGCUUGAGUGUGGCAGAGGGGGGUGGAAUUCCGCGUGUAGCAGUGAAAUGCGUAGAGAUGCGGAGGAACACCGAUGGCGAAGGCAGCCCCCUGGGCCAACACUGACGCUCAGGCACGAAAGCGUGGGGAGCAAACAGG